rnacentral:rRNA from 1 species
GACGAACCGUGCGAACGUUAUUCGGAUUUAUUGGGCUUAAAGAGUGCGUAGGUGGCAGUGUAAGUCGGGGGUGAAAUACUAUCGGCUCAACCGUGGAAUUGCCUUCGAUACUGGGUGACUAGAGGACCGGAGAGGAUAGUGGAAUUCCCAGUGUAGUGGUGAAAUACGUAGAGAUUGGGAAGAACACCAGUGGCGAAGGCGGCUAUCUGGACGGUUUCUGACGCUAAGACGCGAAAGCGUGGGGAGCAAACAGG